GGACACACAGCAGCACAGAGAGAGAGAUAGAAAGACAGAGAGAUAGAGAGAGAGAGACAGACAGACAGAGUUGCAGUGCUGAGAACUGAGAGGAACUGAGACAACUCAACUCCCUCUGCUCGUGCUUCCUUCCAGCCAAUGGAAGACUACUUAGACUGGAUCUACAUGGGGGUGAUGUCUGCGUUUGUCGGAGGGGCCAUGAAGAAGGUCCUGGCGUCCCACGUCAGCGCGGCCCCGACCGUGGUGGCCUGGCUGGGGGUCACCUUACUAGUGGAGAGGCUGUGGUUCUUCUGUGUGCCUGCUGUCCUGGUGUUGGCUGCCCUCUGCCUCGCCUGCUGUCUAUACUCUGUCAGGACAGCCCCAGCACCCACUCUGCCUGUCCAGGGCAAGGCUGUCUUCAUCACAGGCUGUGACACAGGCUUCGGGAAGGCUGCAGCGCGGCGUCUGGACGCCCAGGGUUUUGAGGUGUUUGCUACGGUGUUGGAUCUGUGUGGGGAGGGAGCCAAGGAGCUCCAGAAGACCUGCUCCCCUCAUCUCACCCUGCUACAGGUGGACAUCACCCAGCCACAGCAGGUCCAACAGGCUCUUCUAGACACCAAGGCCAAACUGGGCCUCAGAGGUCUGUGGGGCUUGGUGAAUAAUGCAGGAGUAUGUGUUAACUUCGGGGAUGCAGAGUUGUCUCUGAUGUCUAACUACCGUGGCUGUAUGGAGGUGAACUUCUUUGGGACUCUGAACGUCACCAAGACAUUCCUGCCUCUGCUGCGUCAGGCCAAGGGACGCAUCGUCACAAUCUCCAGCCCUGCAGGAGAGCAGCCGUUCCCCUGUCUAGCAGCGUACGGAGCCUCCAAGGCAGCUCUCAACCUGUUCAUCAACACACUGCGCCACGAAAUGGAACCCUGGGGGGUCAAAGUGUCCACCAUACUGCCAUCCUCAUACAAGACAGGUCAGUCCGGUAACCAGGAGUACUGGGAGAAUCAGUACAAGAGCCUGAUCCACAACCUGUCCACAGGCCUGCUGGAGGAGUACGGGGAAGACUACACGCACGAGACCAAGGAGCUCUUCCAACACUUCGCCCAGUCGGCUAACGAGGACCUGUCACCAGUCAUCAACACCAUCAGCGAGGCGCUGCUCUCCCCCAGGCCCCUGGUCCGAUACUACGCUGGGCCCGGCGUGGGCCUCAUGAACUUCGUUUAUAGUUAUUUCCCUCUGAGUCUCUCAGACAAGUUCCUCCAGAGACUAUUUGUCCAGAAGAAGAUCAUCCCACGAGCGCUGAGGAAAGAGAACAACAACAACAACAACAACAUCAACAACAACGUGGAGAAGAUAAAGAAGUAAAACAAUGAGAUGUGUGUUUGUUUUUUUAAGGUAAAAAAAAAAAGUGGAAGCUGUAGGACCCACUUACGUCAGGUACAACACGCACAUCGUGUUGUUGUCUAUUUUUGAAGGGCUCAUUAUAUUGGUGUUCAUAUUGAAGGGCUCAUUAUAUUGGUGUUCAUAUUGAAGGGCUCAUUAUAUUGGUGUUCAUAUUGAAGGGCUCAUUAUAUUGGUGUUCACAUUGAAGGGCUCAUUAUAUUGGUGUUCAUAUUGAAGGGCUCAUUAUAUUGGUGUUCAUAUUGAAGGGCUCAUUAUAUUGGUGUUCAUAUUGAAGGGCUCAUUAUAUUGGUGUUCACAUUGAAGGACUCAUUAUAUUGGUGUUCAUAUUGAAGGGCUCAUUAUAUUGGUGUUCAUAUUGAAGGGCUCAUUAUAUUGGUGUUCAUAUUGAAGGGCUCAUUAUAUUGGUGUUCACAUUGAAGGGCUCAUUAUAUUGGUGUUCAUAUUGAAGGGCUCAUUAUAUUGGUGUUCAUAUUGAAGGGCUCAUUAUAUUGGUGUUCAUAUUGAAGGGCUCAUUAUAUUGGUGUUCACAUUGAAGGGCUCAUUAUAUUGGUGUUCACAUUGAAGAGCUCAUUAUAUUGGUGUUCAUAUUGAAGGGCUCAUUAUAUGGGUGUUCACAUUGAAGGGCUCAUUAUAUUGGUGUUCAUAUUGAAGGGCUCAUUAUAUUGGUGUUCACAUUGAAGGGCUCAAUAUAUUGGUGUUCACAUUGAAGGGGUCAUUGAAGAUGAGUAUUUGAGUGGCUUUCCCUCCCGGUAGACGGCAGACACCAACAUAGCUGGCACCAACACGGCAGACACCAACACAGCUGGCACCAACACGUCUGGCACCAACAUGUCUGGCACCAACACGUCUGGCACCAACACGGCAGACACCAACACAGCUGGCACCAACACGUCCGUCACCAACACGUCUGGCACCAACACGUCUGGCACCAACACGGCAGACACCAACACAGCUGGCACCAACACGUCCGUCACCAACACGUCUGGCACCAACACGUCUGGCACCAACAUGAUGGCACCAACACGAUGGCACCAACACGUCUGGCACCAACACGGCUGGCACCAACACGAUGGCACCAACACGUCUGGCACCAACACGAUGGCACCAACACGUCUGGCACUAACACGAUGGCACCAACACGAUGGCACCAACACGGCUGGCAGCAACACGGCCGGCACCAACACGGCUGGCGCCAACACAAUGGCACCAACACGAUGGCACCAACACGAUGGCACCAACACGAUGGCACCAACACGUCUGGCACCAACAUGGCUGGCACCAACACGGUGGCACCAACACGAUGGCACCAACACGAUGGCACCAACACGGCUGGCACCAACACGGCUGGCACCAACACGAUGGCACCAACACGGCUGGCACCAACAUGAAUGGCACCAACACGGCUGGCACCAACACGGCUGGCACCAACACGGCUGGCACCAACACGGCAGACACCAACACGGCUGGCACCAACACGAAUGGCACCAACACGGUUGGCACCAACACGGCUGGCACCAACAUGGCUGGCACCAACACGAUGGCACCAACACGAUGGCACCAACACGAUGGCACCAACACGGCUGGCACCAACACGGCUGGCACCAACACGACUGGCACCACAGAGCUCUGUAAAUACACCAUUCUGUCACAUCCCCAUGGAGCACCUGAAUUCAAUUAUAAAAAAACAUUUCAAUUGCAGCCUGGUAUAUUUGCUGAUGUUAUUUUUAAUUCGAACAUUUCGUCGUUGUUCAUUUCUUUGUGUUGUAUUUUUCACUCCACUGAAUGUUCUUCUUCAAUCAGAGUAGCUAUGCCAGUUUCAUUUCAUGAAUCACUGAAAACUGUGAAUUUUACUAUAACAAAUAUUCUUACAAAUAUUGUUAAAUUUUUUUAUUUUUUUCACUCAUUUGUUCACCUAACUUUGGUAAUAUUAAAAGUUGACUUUUUAAAAA